GGGCCGACGUUGUCGGCUUAUUGGGCGUAAGAGCUCGUAGGCGGCGUGUCGCGUCUGCUGUGAAAGACCGGGGCUUAACUCCGGUUCUGCAGUGGAUACGGGCAUGCUAGAGGUAGGUAGGGGAGACUGGAAUUCCUGGUGUAGCGGUGAAAUGCGCAGAUAUCAGGAGGAACACCGGUGGCGAAGGCGGGUCUCUGGGCCUUACCUGACGCUGAGGAGCGAAAGCAUGGGGAGCGAACAGGAUUAGAUACCCUGGUAGUCCAUGCCGUAAACGUUGGGCGCUAGGUGUGGGGACUUUCCACGGUUUCCGCGCCGUAGCUAACGCAUUAAGCGCCCCGCCUGGGGAGUACGGCCGCAAGGCUAAAACUCAAAGGAAUUGACGGGGGCCCGCACAAGCGGCGGAGCAUGUUGCUUAAUUCGACGCAACGCGAAGAACCUUACCAAGGUUUGACAUCACCCGUGGACUCGCAGAGAUGUGAGGUCAUUUAGUUGGCGGGUGACAGGUGGUGCAUGGCUGUCGUCAGCUCGUGUCGUGAGAUGUUGGGUUAAGUCCCGCAACGAGCGCAACCCUUGUUCCAUGUUGCCAGCACGUAAUGGUGGGGACUCAUGGGAGACUGCCGGGGUCAACUCGGAGGAAGGUGGGGAUGACGUCAAGUCAUCAUGCCCCUUAUGUCUUGGGCUGCAAACAUGCUACAAUGGCCGGUACAAUGGGCGUGCGAUACCGUAAGGUGGAGCGAAUCCCUAAAAGCCGGUCUCAGUUCGGAAUUGGGGUCUGCAACUCGACCCCAUGAAGGUGGAGUCGCUAGUAAUCGCGGAUCAGCAACGCCGCGGGUGAAUACGUUCCCGGGCCUUGUACACACCGCCCGUCACGUCAUGAAAGUCGGCAACACCCGAAACUUGCGGCCUAACCCCUUGUGGGAGGGAGUGAAUUGAAAGGUGGGGGCUUGGCAAUUGGGACGAAUCUACGGGGGGGGGCGCCACAGAAAAAAGGU
rnacentral:rRNA from 1 species